rnacentral:tRNA from 1 species
GUAGACGUUAGCUCAGUGGUUAGAGCACAGGCCUCUGGCUCUCGGGUCCGCUAGUUCGAGUCCCGUCGUCUACU